rnacentral:rRNA from 1 species
AUUGAGCGCUGGCGGCAUGCCUUACACAUGCAAGUCGAACGGCAGCACGGGUGCUUGCACCUGGUGGCGAGUGGCGAACGGGUGAGUAAUACAUCGGAACGUACCUUAUCGUGGGGGAUAACGCAGCGAAAGCUGUGCUAAUACCGCAUACGCCCUGAGGGGGAAAGCGGGGGAUCGCAAGACCUCGCGCGAUUAGAGCGGCCGAUGCCUGAUUAGCUAGUUGGUGGGGUAAAAGCCCACCAAGGCGACGAUCAGUAGCUGGUCUGAGAGGACGAUCAGCCACACUGGGACUGAGACACGGCCCAGACUACUACGGGAGGCAGCAGUGGGGAAUUUUGGACAAUGGGGGCAACCCUGAUCCAGCAAUGCCGCGUGAGUGAAGAAGGCCUUCGGGUUGUAAAGCUCUUUUGUCAGGGAAGAAACACCGGCUCUAACACAGUCCGGGAAUGACGGUACCUGAAGAAUAAGCACCGGCUAACUACGUGCCAGCAGCCGCCGUAA